rnacentral:tRNA from 2 species
GGCCAUGUGGAGGAAUUGGUAGACUCGCCAUCUUGAGGGGGUGGUGCCGCAAGGCGUGCUGGUUCGAAUCCAGUCAUGGUCACAA